GACGAACGCUGGCGGCGUGCUUAACACAUGCAAGUCGAACGGAAAGGCCCUGCUUUUGUGGGGUGCUCGAGUGGCGAACGGGUGAGUAACACGUGAGUAACCUGCCCGUGACUUUGGGAUAACUUCAGGAAACUGGGGCUAAUACCGGAUAGGAGCUCCUGCUGCAUGGUGGGGGUUGGAAAGUUUCGGCGGUUGGGGAUGGACUCGCGGCUUAUCAGCUUGUUGGUGGGGUAGUGGCUUACCAAGGCUUUGACGGGUAGCCGGCCUGAGAGGGUGACCGGCCACAUUGGGACUGAGAUACGGCCCAGACUCCUACGGGAGGCAGCAGUGGGGAAUAUUGCACAAUGGGCGGAAGCCUGAUGCAGCACCGCCGCGUGCGGGAUGACGGCCUUCGGGUUGUAAACCGCUUUCGCCUGUGACGAAGCGUGAGUGACGGUAAUGGGUAAAGAAGCACCGGCUAACUACGUG
rnacentral:rRNA from 1 species